rnacentral:rRNA from 1 species
GAGUUUGAUCGUGGCUCAGAUUGAACGCUGGCGGCAGGCUUAACACAUGCAAGUCGAACGGGCGCAGCAAUGCGUCAGUGGCAGACGGGUGAGUAACGCGUGGGAACGUACCCUUCGGUUCGGAACAACUCCGGGAAACUGGAGCUAAUACCGGAUACGUCCGUAAGGAGAAAGAUUUAUCGCCGAAGGAUCGGCCCGCGUCGGAUUAGCUAGUUGGUGGGGUAACGGCCCACCAAGGCGACGAUCCGUAGCUGGUCUGAGAGGAUGAUCAGCCACACUGGGACUGAGACACGGCCCAGACUCCUACGGGAGGCAGCAGUGGGGAAUAUUGGACAAUGGGCGAAAGCCUGAUCCAGCCAUGCCGCGUGAGUGAAGAAGGCCCUAGGGUUGUAAAGCUCUUUCAGCGGGGAAGAUAAUGACGGUACCCGCAGAAGAAGUCCCGGCUAACUUCGUGCCAGCAGCCGCCGCUGUAAG